rnacentral:lncRNA from 1 species
UUGUUUUUUCCAAUGAAAUUUAAAAUUUUUACAGUCAAACCUAUCAGUAUUUUUUAUUGUUAUUUCUUUAGAAAUUUUACUCAGAAAGUCCUCCCUAUCCUAAGAUAAUAUAUAUUUAAAUUUGCUUCAUGUUGAUUUAUGAUUUUUUAAAAAUGCUUAGUUUGUUUUUUCUUCUGAAUUAAUUUUAGGAGUAUGGUGUAAUGGAAGGCGCUGACAAGACUUCUUCCAAUCAUUUCAUCUCCAUAUCAUAUAAAAAGAACAGGGAAAGAUGACACAUCAACACGGCUGCAGAGCACAAGUACCUUGACCUGUAAAGACAUCUGCAAAUAUUCUGAUCGCUUUAUAAACUAUCUUAAAACCCUGGCACACACUGAGUUACACCAAACUCAGGGAAUGUGUUUCAAAUGGGAUAUAGUGCUACAGACAAGCUA